UAGAUGCGAGAGUAGAGCAUAUCAAUAAGCGGAGGAAAAGAAACUAACAAGGAUUCCCUUAGUAACGGCGAGUGAAGCGGGAAGAGCUCAAAUUUGAAAUCUUCAAGGGUUCUACCUUUACGAAUUGUAGUUUAUAAGAAGUGUUUCUCUGUUAGUGGAGUUGGCUAAAAGUUCUUUGGAAUAGGACAUCACUAGAGGGUGAGAAUCCCGUAUUUGGUCAUUCCUUCCUAGCUGUUGUGAUACACUUUCAACGAGUCGGAUUGUUUGGGAAUGCAGUCCAAAAUGGGUGGUAAAUUUCAUCUAAAGCUAAAUAUUGGCGAGAGACCGAUAGCGAACAAGUACCGUGAGGGAAUGAUGAAAAGAACUUUGAAAAGAGAGUUAAACAGUACGUGAAAUUGUCAAAGGGGAAGCGUUUGACACCAGUGUUGUUUUUCCGAAAAUCAAUUACGAAUGUUUUGUUUUUGAGGAGUUAUGACUUCAUCGGCUUGCUCCUUUCUUUAUGAAACUUUCUUAAUGCACUUUUCGGUUAACAAGUCAACAUCAAUUUCUUUUGUUGUAAAAGGGUAUGAGGAAGGUGGCUUUCUUUUCGGAGAAAGUGUUUAUAGCCUUGUGCCUCUGCAAUCGGAGAGAUUGAGGUCUGCAGCGUAGAUCCUUCGGGGUUAGAUACGUUUGUGCUAAGUUAUAGCUUUUCAUAGACAACUUAUUGACUAUGUUUAGUCUUGUAGCUUACUCGCUGACGCUAUUUUACCUACGCUUAGGAUGUUGACGAGACUGUCGAUCUC
rnacentral:rRNA from 1 species